GUACUGUUGUCUCGGGGGCCGUUCUUCUUGUCAAAUACAAGAAGACACAAGCUGAAUUCAAGAGGAAGGAUGAGGAGAUUGAGGUGCUCAAAAAUGAGCUGGAGAGACUUCAGUGGCUGAGAAAUGACACACUUAAGGGGUAGGGGUCACAACGGAAGUUCACCAAGAUUACCUCUGCUAUCAAAAGGAUGGAGAAAGUAAAUCUCAAAUACAUACACAAACCUUCUUGUACAAUGUCACCACUGUUCCAUUAAGUUUGUGUCAGAUCACAACAGAAGUCAUCUCAAGGGACUUAUAUGAUUGGGAAGCAAAACCACUUAUGGAAUGAAGCCUUUGUUAAAAGCAG
ensembl:lncRNA